AUACGCACAUGCAGACACAGGCAAUUUCACUGACAUUUCAGUGACACACACAAGCUCAUUGAUACACACACACAGCUUAAUGUGGUGGUACUGGUGUCUUUAGUAUGUCCCUACAGGCUUUUCAACGUAAACACUGACUUUUCAGACAAAAGGCAGUGUUUACAUUGCUUCAAAGUGACACUGCUAGUGACAGUCACUCAGACGGUCACUAGAGGUGCUUCCUGUGUUAGUGCC
rnacentral:lncRNA from 1 species